GGAACUGUGAGACAGGUGCUGCAUGGCUGUCGUCAGCUCGUGUUGUGAAAUGUUGGGUUAAGUCCCGCAACGAGCGCAACCCUUAUCCUUUGUUGCCAGCGGUCCGGCCGGGAACUCAAAGGAGACUGCCAGUGAUAAACUGGAGGAAGGUGGGGAUGACGUCAAGUCAUCAUGGCCCUUACGACCAGGGCUACACACGUGCUACAAUGGCGCAUACAAAGAGAAGCGACCUCGCGAGAGCAAGCGGACCUCAUAAAGUGCGUCGUAGUCCGGAUUGGAGUCUGCAACUCGACUCCAUGAAGUCGGAAUCGCUAGUAAUCGUGGAUCAGAAUGCCACGGUGAAUACGUUCCCGGGCCUUGUACACACCGCCCGUCACACCAUGGGAGUGGGUUGCAAAAGAAGUAGGUAGCUUAACCUUCGGGAGGGCGCUUACCACUUUGUGAUUCAUGACUGGGGUGAAGUCGUAACAAGGUAACCGUAGGGGAACCUGCGGCUGGAUCACCUC
rnacentral:rRNA from 1 species